rnacentral:rRNA from 1 species
AUUGAACGCUGGCGGCAUGCUUUACACAUGCAAGUCGGACGGCAGCACAGAGAAGCUUGCUUCUUGGGUGGCGAGUGGCGAACGGGUGAGUAACAUAUCGGAACGUACCGGGCAGUGGGGGAUAACUAAUCGAAAGAUUAGCUAAUACCGCAUAUCUUCUGAGGAAGAAAGCAGGGGACCAUUUGGCCUUGCGCUGUUUGAGCGGCCGAUAUCUGAUUAGCUAGUUGGUGGGGUAAAGGCCUACCAAGGCGACGAUCAGUAGCGGGUCUGAGAGGAUGAUCCGCCACACUGGGACUGAGACACGGCCCAGACUCCUACGGGAGGCAGCAGUGGGGAAUUUUGGACAAAUGGGGCGCAAAGCCCUGAUCCCAGCCAUGCCCGCGUGUCUGAAAGAAAGGGCCCUUUCGGGUUGUAAAAGGAACUUUUGUCCAGGGAAGAAAAAGGCGGGGGUAA